GUGUUUUUAUCGGCAUUCGUUGUAUAGGGUCUGUAAGUCUCGUUUGGUUUCACUUUCGGUUUUACUACUUCCGGGUACAACAACAUGUGAAAUAUAUAAAGUCGUAACAGAAAAUCGGCGCUAGUAUGUAAUUUGGUGUAUUGUUAAGUGAUCGGCUGCACACACGAGACUGGGAAAACCCUGCCAUGUAGUUUAUUUAGGUUCCUAGUCGAUGCUACAGUAAGGAAGCGGUGGAUACAAAGAUGUAGACACAAAGUUACGAAACCUGCUGAAGCAGAAGCAUUUGCUUGAAACGUACAUGUAGGAACCGAAGUUGAUACUGCUACCAAUAUAUCUGUACCAGACAACAAUGAAGUGGAUCUACAUGAUCACGAGCACACAACAUCAAACCCUCAAGAUUUAAAAAGCUUUCCUUGAAGACUAUGAUGUUGUAAACUUGCAGUGAGAAAUAUACCUGCUUAAUUAAAAGAAACCAUCCUUGACAAUUGGGAACAUCAUAAUUGAAAGACCCUGGAAAGGGAUCAUGAACACUGUUGGAAGUGUCCAUUCAACUGAAAUAUAAAAGUCAGAAGAAUUGAAGAUUGCAAUGGAUGCAACAGAAGUGACCUAAUAUGACCAAAUUGAUAUGAAUAGCCAGUUUUUCGCUUGCAGUAAUGACAAGAGUCGCCACAAAGAAAAGACCUUAAUGUGUAUUACACCUAAUGCAGCUUAUUUCCAAUCUGUAUGCUGGAUACAAAUCUAAUUUGGCAAUUGUGAACCAUUGUGGCAUUUUAGAGAAGUUGCAAGUUGGUGAUAUAUUCCUGGCGGACAAAGGAUUUUGUAUAUUUGACAAACUUCCAAAUGACAGGACACUUAAUAUCCCAUUCUUUCUUACAAAUAAAUCCCACUUCUCAAAAGAGGAUGCACAACUUUGCUAUAAAAUUUCCAGAUGCAGAAUCCAUGUUGGAUGGGAAAAUGAGAGAAUAUUUUUUUUUUUAAAAUUCCUUAGCCAUAUUCUAUCAUAGUAUAGAUAUUGAUCUGACAAAAUAUUUCAGAUUUGUGUGGAUCAUGUGAAUUUGCAGGUUCCCCUUUUGAAGGAGAUUGCAGAUAAAUCCUACAAACUUAUUAGAUUAAUUGCAUGUAUAUAUAUAUAUAUAUAUAUAUAUAUAUAUAUAUAUAUAUAUAUACCUUAAAUCUGCACAUACCUGCCACAUUGAAUUUUUAAACUUAAUAGUAAUGAAUACCAUAUAUGCGAUAUAACUUUUCUACAUAUUUAUAUAGAUAUAAAGCCUUUUAUAUUCAUAUGAAUAUAAAGCCCUUUGGAACGUCUCCAUCAGAAUGAAAUAUUCUCGAAAGGAACGUUAAACAAUAUACAAUGAAACAUAAAGCCUUUUGUUCUCAUUCUGAAGGUUUUCAAAUCUGCAUUUUUUUUAAAAAGAAGUAAAAUCCAUUGUUUUAGUAAAUGCAUGUAAUUGAAUGAUUUUUGUAAAGCUGGACACUGUGUCUAUACAUACAUGUAUUUUGGUUCAUCUAAAAUAAGAAAAACUCUGUCUAUAAUGUUUAUUCAAUAAAUAUACAUGUAAUUACAUAA